UCUUCAUCUUCCUCAUGUUCAUGUCAAGUAGGCUAAGGAGGAGGAGAGAGUGGAGGGGUUGGUCUUGCUGUCUAAAGGGUGGCAGAAGGAGAAGAAAAGCCACGUGUAAGUGGUCCUGCCCAGUUCAGACCCGUUUCCUUCAAGGGUCCACUGUAUUUUCUUAGUAAACUGAGGCAGGAUCUAGUUACAUUGUAGCUGUGAAGUGCUGCAUUGUCUUUGCCCCCUGCUCAAAAUAAAACUGUUACCUUUCAAGCCCUGUCUGCCAUGGUGCUGUAGCAGCAGGGAUGUUUGGUCUCAUACAUGUUUACCAAUUUAAGUACUGACUUGACAAAUGACUCUUGAGAAUUAGGGGUUGGUGGUGUUUUGCAGGUAGCGACAGAAGGAAGAAAACAUUAUCAGGAGGGAAUUCAGAUAAAGGACAAACCAUAUUUUGACUGCUACUGACUUGUUGAACUGGCAGUCGGGGUCAACUUGGGAAGACAGCUGUGACCAUAAAUAUUAAAGAAGACAAAAGGAUUCUUUGUGACACUGAGACCUUCUGCAGUACCACAGUGGAGGAAAUGCCAGUGUACACAACUGGCCUCAUUUAAUUCCUGGGAGGAGAUAGUUUGGGAUGCAGUGCUUGUUGUUGCUGAGCAGGCGAUCACAGCAUGCACUGUGUUUCUUUCUUUGAGAAUAUUUGAAUCCUGCCUGAAUACUCGUAACAGAUGAGAGACGCAGGUUUUGAUAGCAUAGAUUUACGCUGUCAUUAGUCAUGAGCUCUUGGGACGAAAGUAAUUGGUUUUAUCCUGUUU
rnacentral:lncRNA from 1 species